AUACGUAGGGUGCAAGCGUUGUCCGGAAUUAUUGGGCGUAAAGAGCUCGUAGGCGGUUUGUCGCGUCUGCUGUGAAAUCCCGAGGCUCAACCUCGGGUCUGCAGUGGGUACGGGCAGACUAGAGUGUGGUAGGGGAGAUUGGAAUUCCUGGUGUAGCGGUGGAAUGCGCAGAUAUCAGGAGGAACACCGAUGGCGAAGGCAGAUCUCUGGGCCAUUACUGACGCUGAGGAGCGAAAGCAUGGGGAGCGAACAGGAUUAGAUACCCUGGUAGUCCAUGCCGUAGACGUUGGGCGCUAGAUGUGGGGAGCAUUCCACGGUUUCCGUGUCGUAGCUAACGCAUUAAGCGCCCCGCCUGGGGAGUACGGCCGCAAGGCUAAA
rnacentral:rRNA from 1 species